rnacentral:rRNA from 1 species
UGGGGAAUAUUGGGCAAUGGGCGAAAGCCUGACCCAGCAACGCCGCGUGAGGGAAGAAGGCCUUCGGGUUGUAACCCUCUGUCCUUAGUGACGAAGGAAGUGACGGUAGCUAAGGAGGAAGCCCCGGCUAACUACGUGCCAGCAGCCGCGGUAAUACGUAGGGGGCAAGCGUUAUCCGGAAUUAUUGGGCGUAAAGAGUGCGUAGGUGGUUACCUAAGCAGGGGGUGAAAGGCAUUGGCUUAACCAAUGUUAGCCCCCUGAACUGGGCUACUUGAGUGCAGGAGAGGAAAGCGGAAUUCCUAGUGUAGCGGUGAAAUGCGUAGAUAUUAGGAGGAACACCA